rnacentral:rRNA from 1 species
UCAAAUUUGAAAUCUGGCACCUUCGGUGUCCGAGUUGUAAUUUGAAGAAGGUAACUUUGGAGUUGGGUCUUGUCUAUGUUCCUUGGAACAGGACGUCACAGAGGGUGAGAAUCCCGUGCGAUGAGAUGUCCAACUCUAUGUAAAGUGCUUUCGAAGAGUCGAGUUGUUUGGGAAUGCAGCUCUAAGUGGGUGGUAAAUUCCAUCUAAAGCUAAAUAUUGGCGAGAGACCGAUAGCGAACAAGUACAGUGAUGGAAAGAUGAAAAGAACUUUGAAAAGAGAGUGAAAAAGUACGUGAAAUUGUUGAAAGGGAAGGGUUUGAGAUCAGACUUGGUAUUUUGUAUGUCUUGCUUUCGGGUGGGGCCUCUGCAGUUUACUGGGCCAGCAUCGGUUUGGACGGUAGGAUAAUGACAUUGGAAUGUGGCACUACUUCGGUGGUGUGUUAUAGACUUUGUUGAUACUGCCUGUCUAGACCGAGGACUGCGUCUUUGACUAGGAUGCUGGCAUAAUGAUCCUAAACCG